rnacentral:rRNA from 1 species
AACCUCCGCAAUGUGAGAAAUCGCGACGGGGGGAUCCCAAGUGCCAUUCUUAACGGGAUGGCUUUUCAUUAGUGUAAAGAGCUUUUGGAAUAAGGGCUGGGCAAGACCGGUGCCAGCCGCCGCGGUAACACCGGCAGCUCUAGUGGUAGCAGUUUUUAUUGGGCCUAAAGCGUCCGUAGCCGGUUUAAUAAGUCUCUGGUGAAAUCCUGUAGCUUAACUGUGGGAAUAGCUGGAGAUACUAUUAGACUUGAGACCGGGAGAGGUUAGAGGUACUCCCAGGGUAGAGGUGAAAUUCUGUAAUCCUGGGAGGACCGCCUGUUGCGAAGGCGUCUAACUGGAACGGUUCUGACGGUGAGGGACGAAAGUUAGGGGCGCGAACCGGAUUAGAUACCCGGGUAGUCCUAACUGUAAACGAUGCGGACUUGGUGUUGGGGUGGCUUUGAGCUGCUCCAGUGCCGAAGGGAAGCUGUUAAGUCCGCCGCCUGGGAAGUACGGUCGCAAGACUGAAACUUAAAGGAAUU